GACGAACCGUCCAAACGUUAUUCGGAAUCACUGGGCUUAAAGGGUGCGUAGGCGGCGCGGAAAGUUGGGUGUGAAAUCCCUCGGCUCAACCGAGGAAUUGCGCCCAAAACUUCCGUGCUCGAGGAAGAUAGAGGUGAGCGGAACUUAGGGUGGAGCGGUGAAAUGCGUUGAUAUCCUAAGGAACACCGGUGGCGAAAGCGGCUCACUGGAUCUUUUCUGACGCUGAGGCACGAAGGCUAGGGUAGCGAACGGG
rnacentral:rRNA from 1 species